rnacentral:miRNA from 1 species
AAACUGAAAUGGUUUGUUACAG